GAUGAACGCUGACAGAAUGCUUAACACAUGCAAGUCAACUUGAACUUCGGUUUGGGUGGCGGACGGGUGAGUAACGCGUAAAGAACUUGCCUCACAGAUAGGGACAACAUUUGGAAACGAAUGCUAAUACCUGAUAUUAUGAUUUUAGGGCAUCCUAGGAUUAUGAAAGCUAUAUGCGCUGUGAGAGAGCUUUGCGUCCCAUUAGCUAGUUGGAGAGGUAACGGCUCACCAAGGCGAUGAUGGGUAGCCGGCCUGAGAGGGUGAUCGGCCACAAGGGGACUGAGACACGGCCCUUGCUCCUACGGGAGGCAGCAGUGGAGAAUAUUGGACAAUGGACCAAGAGUCUGAUCCAGCAAUUCUGUGUGCACGAUGAAGUUUUUCGGAAUGUAAAGUGCUUUCAGUUGGGAAGAAAAAAAUGACGGUACCAACAGAAGAAGUGACGGCUAAAUACGUG
rnacentral:rRNA from 1 species